UACGUAUGGGGCGAGCGUUGUCCGGAGGUACUGGGCGUAAAGCGCUUGUAGGCGGGCCACCAAGUUUGGGGUGACAGUUGCCGACUUAAUCGGCAAAGUGCCUCAAAGACUGGCGGACUUGAGGGCCACAGAGGGACAUGGAACUCCAGGUGUAGUGGUGAAAUGCGUAGAUAUCUGGAAGAACACCAAAGGCGAAGGCAGUGUCCUGGGUGGUCGCUGACGCUGAGAGGCGAAAGCCAGGGGAGCGAACGGG
rnacentral:rRNA from 1 species